UGGGGAAUUUUGGACAAUGGGCGAAAGCCUGAUCCAGCAAUGCCGCGUGUGUGAAGAAGGCCUUCGGGUUGUAAAGCACUUUUGUCCGGAAAGAAAUCCUCUGGGUUAAUACCUCGGGGGGAUGACGGUACCGGAAGAAUAAGCACCGGCUAACUACGUGCCAGCAGCCGCGGUAAUACGUAGGGUGCAAGCGUUAAUCGGAAUUACUGGGCGUAAAGCGUGCGCAGGCGGUUUUGUAAGACGGAUGUGAAAUCCCCGGGCUUAACCUGGGAACUGCAUUCGUGACUGCAAGGCUAGAGUAUGGCAGAGGGGGGUAGAAUUCCACGUGUAGCAGUGAAAUGCGUAGAGAUGUGGAGGAAUACCGAUGGCGAAGGCAGCCCCCUGGGCCAAUACUGACGCUCAUGCACGAAAGCGUGGGGAGCAAACAGGAUUAGAUACCCUGGUAGUCCACGCCCUAAACGAUGUCAACUAGUUGUUGGGGAUUCAUUUCCUUAGUAACGUAGCUAACGCGUGAAGUUGACCGCCUGGGGAGUACGGUCGCAAGAUUAAAACUCAAAGGAAUUGACGGGGUCAUAGCUGUUCCU
rnacentral:rRNA from 1 species